AGCAGCCGCCGCGGGAAUACGUAGGUGGCAAGCAUUGUCCGGAAUUAUUGGGCGUAAAGCGUGCGCAGGCGGAUAGGUCAGUCUGUCUUAGAAGUUCGGGGCUUAACCCCGUGAUGGGAUGGAAACUGCCAAUCUAGAGUAUCGGAGAGGAAAGUGGAAUUCCUAGUGUAGCGGUGAAAUGCGUAGAUAUUAGGAAGAACACCAGUGGCGAAGGCGACUUUCUGGACGAAAACUGACGCUGAAGCGCGAAAGCCAGGGGAGCGAACGGGAUUAGAUACCCCGGUAGUCCCUGUCUCUUAUACA
rnacentral:rRNA from 1 species